rnacentral:rRNA from 1 species
GAAGUUAAAGGCUGUGGCUCAACCAUAGUUCGCUUUGGAAACUGUCAAACUUGAGUGCAGAAGGGGAGAGUGGAAUUCCAUGUGUAGCGGUGAAAUGNGUAGAUAUAUGGAGGAACACCGGUGGCGAAAGCGGCUCUCUGGUCUGUAACUGACGCUGAGGCUNGAAAGCGUGGGGAGCGAACAGGAUUAGAUACCCUGGUAGUCCACGCCGUAAACGAUGAGUGCUAGGUGUUGGAUCCUUUCCGGGAUUCAGUGCCGCAGCUAACGCAUUAAGCACUCCGCCUGGGGAGUACGACCGCAAGGUUGAAACUCAAAGGAAUUGACGGGGGCCCGCACAAGCGGUGGAGCAUGUGGUUUAAUUCGAAGCAACGCGAAGAACCUUACCAGGUCUUGACAUCCCGAUGCUAUUUCUAGAGAUAGAAAGUUACUUCGGUACAUCGGUGACAGGUGGUGCAUGGUUGUCGUCAGCUCGUGUCGUGAGAUGUUGGGUUAAGNCCCGCAACGAGCGCAACCCCUAUUGUUAGUUGCCAUCAUUCAGUUGGGCACUCUAGCGAGACUGCCGGUAAUAAACCGGAGGAAGGUGGGGAUGACGUCAAAUCAUCAUGCCCCUUAUGACCUGGGCUACACACGUGCUACAAUGGUUGGUACAACGAGUUGCGAGUCGGUGACGGCAAGCUAAUCUCUUAAAGCCAAUCUCAGUUCGGAUUGUAGGCUGCAACU